UACGGAGGGAGCAAGCGUUGUUCGGAUUUACUGGGCGUAAAGGGCGCGUAGGCGGCGUGUUAAGUCAGCUGUGAAAUCUCCAAGCUUAACUUGGAACGGUCAGCUGAUACUGAUGUGCUAGAGUGCAGAAAGGGCAAUCGGAAUUCUUGGUGUAGCGGUGAAAUGCGUAGAUAUCAAGAGGAACACCUGAGGCGAAGGCGGGUUGCUAGGCUGACACUGACGCUGAGGCGCGAAAGCUAGGGUAGCAAACGGG
rnacentral:rRNA from 1 species